CACGGAUUAUAAUAUUGGGUGACACAUAUUACAUAUACAAGAACAAAAUUAAAAUAGGAGAGAGAGGAAUUCGAAACAACAACAAAACAACAAUUAGGCAAGCACAUUCAUGUGUGCGUUUGCCGCGCGCACCACGCAUGCACAUAUAUAUAUCAUCAGGGUGCAUGCAGCACACAUUAUUGUUCUAGAGAAAAUCAAAAGGGAAAUAGUUUUGCCGUAUCGGAUAUGUAGAUCAGGCCAAUUGCCAAGAACUGGCCGGCCGGAUCGAUCGCCGUAGACGGAGGGCGAGAUAUCUCUCUGCCGGCGACGGCGACCGGUCGGUUAGUCGGAAGAGCUGCUGCUGGAGGGUGCGUCCGACGACGACGACGACGACUCCGGGGACGAGGCGUCGGGGCUGGGAGCGGGCGCGUCGGAGGAGGACUCCAUGGACCUGCCCUCCACGACGUCGGCGCGCGCCGCGUCGACGACUGUCGUGAGUGGCGCCACCGCGACGGCGGCCAGGAGGAGCACGACCAGGAACACGCAGGCGCGGGCCAUUGCUGAUGCUAGCUGCCUUGGUGGCUUGACCGAGAGUGGCUUGUUGUGUGUGUGAGUGUGACUGCGAUGACGGUACGGGGCGGGGGCGCGGGUGUUUAUAUACGAGACCGUGUGGCUAUUUUUAGGCGGUUCGGUUCCCUCCAGAGCUCCAGGCGAGCGUUUAUUUGGUGGCCUGUACGUACGUGGCUCCUCGUGUCGUGUGGUCGCGCACCACCCUCGCACGACGUCACGGAUGCAUGCACAUGCACGUACGAGUCUCCAUCCCCCAUCUGCCACACGCCCAAACACCCAAAUUAGGAGCUGCGAACGCCAUAGACUUGCAAACGAGUCUAUGGCCAAUGCAGCCGUAUUACUAAUCGUGUCGUGUCGUAUGCCCAUCAUACAUGGCUCCACCUCUGUUCCUCGAUCAAAAAAAAAAGACUCCUCCUUUAGUCCAUAUACAACGCGUCUCUUAUUAGACCCCCGCUCUCUGCGGCGAGGAUCCGACGAACUCUACUGACUCUACUAACUCCUACUAGAGAGGAGGGAUCGAGGAGAUCCGCCGGCGGCAUCGCGCCGCUCGGGGAGGAGUGCUUGAGAGUACAUAGUUUGGUAUUGUAUUUUCUUACAGAGUUUUUCCUCUCUUCCCUACUUAUCUCUCACGCUACUGGCUUUUGCUGAGCAGGCCGAGCAGGCCCACUCCGGCCCAGCGGUCCUGCUGUUUGGGUGCCUUGUCCACGAUCCUCUUCUGGGCCUUGAAGACUAUGGAGGCUCCCUAGGAUGGGGGAUGCUGACAUCUCUCUAUCUUAAGGCGUGAUCAAUAAUGAAGACACAUAGUAAUAAUGGUCUCAUACUAACUUUCUUAGAGUCAAAGUAUCUUAGAUUGACCAAAUUUAUAUAAUAACUUUCUUAGAGUCAAAGUAUGUUAGAUUGACCAAAUUUAUAUAAUAACAUAAUAAUAUUUAUGAUAUCAAAUAAGUAUUAUUAAAUUUUUCAUUAAUUAAAUUUUUAUAGUAUAUUUAUUUGAUGUCAUAAAUCUUUUAAUUUUUUUCUAAAAUUUUGAUCAAACUUGAGAUGUUUUGACGCUCUAACAAGUUAAAAUGACUUAUAAUUUGGAAUGAAGGGAGCUAAAAUAUAAUGUAAUAGCAUUGAGGAUAUUAAACUCCCAAUGGCUAUGCAUUUAUUUAUUCAAUGAUCUCGUCCAUGAUAAUAUAAUAGCGUUGCUAAACCAAACAAUUGCAACGCACCUGGUCUGGUAUAGCAGCCACUACUGCAUAAACAAUUUUACACAAACGUGCUAAAAUGGUUUUGAGAGGCAGUCAAGUCCAUGUCGCAAGCCUAGAUGCAGAACCAUGCAUGCGUGCCACCAGUUUGGAGAGGAAGGGGACUCAAGUGCCGCUUGAAAUGAUCUAGAUGGCUAGAAGGGGAUGAAUAAUCUAUACAAAUUUUCUCUGCAAUUGCACAAGCAUUAGAGCAAAGCAGUUACAACAAUAAGACGCUCUAAUAGUAACUAGUUUGUCUAGCUCUAUUCCACCUAAAUGCAAGCCUCCGCCUCCUACACAAGUCUAGUAGCAAGGUAGUCUACCACUGAAGCACUCAAAUACACAUAAAAGGUUAGCAACUAAACAAGCUACAAUGCUACACUGUAGGGCUAAACUAGCUAGAAUAGCAACUAAAUAUAGCUACUCUACCAUUAAAGUUACCACUACACUAGAGAGCUACAAAAACAAGCAAGCAACUGCGGAGGCUAUAUGAAUGGAAAACAUGAGUGUAGAUGAUGAAACUAUCGAGCGAAAUAGGGAGACAUGAUUUAUUCUUGUGGUUUUCUUGCUUGCCGGUAGCCUACAUCCACGUUGAGUUUAUAUAUCAUUAUGACUUCCCCACUAUGAAUUCAGUCUGACUAGCUAGUUCAUGAAAAGUCAAAACCUACAGUUAUAAGAUAAUAGAAAGUAUAAAAUUUUUAGUAGUGAGCAAUAAUUAUGUGAUGAGCCACUACAUGGCUAAAAAACUCAUGGGCAAGACAUCCCCGGGCAUUUUUUUUUAGAAGCAGAAUACAUUCUCGCAUAGGUUCAGAAACCCUUCGAACUCCUAUCUCACCCAUACAUAGCGGCAUCGUAACCCAUGUGUUUUGGCAUGGGACAUAUGAAAAAAACUUUGAUUGAUAAUCGGCAUAAUAGCUGUGAUGCCACGCUUGACGAUACAAUAGGUCCAAAUUAAAUUUAAAAAUUUUCAGCAUUUUCCACCUCCGAAUUUGGAUCUAGAUUCAAAAUUUAUGUCAGUUGCUCAAAGUUUCAAUACCCAUUUCAGCAUUUCCACACUUAGACUAGUUGUUAGCCAUGACUAAAAAUAGUCAGCUAUAAAUUUAGCCAACUAGUUAUUAGCCUUUGCUUGUUGGGAUCCUCAACUAAAAUUAAGUCCUAGACAAAAAUACUCUCCCUCCAACCUUUUCUCUCUCACCCUGCUAGAGAGAUAAUAGAGGAUAGAGGUGACUUUUUUUUAUAUAUGUAGCACUUUAGACUUUGUUAGCUAGGUUUGAAGGACUAGUGAACUAACAAUUAGUUGGGCUUUGGUUAAACUCUUGCCUACCCAUUGGCCAACUAACAACUAGUUGGGCUUUGGUUAAACCUUUGCCUACUCAUUGCAUUGGCCCUCUUGUUUAGAUCUUUAAUUAAAGGCUAAAGUUUAGCAACUCCUCCCUCAUUUCCAAAUUAUAAGUUACUUUAGCUUUUUUGGUACAUCUAAGCGACUUAUAAUUUAGAACGGAGUAGUAGUUAACUCAUAGGAUCAAAACAUGCCCUUACUUGUUUGUUUGUGUUUCUAAAUCCAGACCCCAUAUGCUAUUUAAUGUCAUGGCGAUGGUUGGCCCUCCAUAGCAGUAGCUAUCAUGUAUUCUUACCAAAAAAAUUGGGCAUAGGUGGUUUUUGGGUUGGCCGUCAGCUUAUGUUGUACUCUCUCUAUCCACAAAAGUUUAAUCAAUGUUAUUAAUUGAAAUACUAAUAUUUAUGGUACAAAAUAAGUACAAUAUAUUAAAAUAAUUAUGAAAUAUAUUUUCGUAGUAAAACUAGCUAAUUGGAGACAUAAAUAUUAAUAGUAUUCACUAUAAACUUGAUAAAAGUUAAGCUAAUUUAACUUGCACAAAUCUCAUAUCCAUGCAUUAUUCUUCCGUGAAUAGAGGUAGUAGUUUGUUGUUGUAGUGGACAAUGUUAGUUUAGAGUUGUGGCGGCUUGUGGCACAUGGUGUGUGUUAUUGUCUCCUAGACUGGACGCUGAGUUAAAGUUGCAAUUUUGCCUUUUUUUUGGGUAGGCUCUCAAGAUUACUUAUUUACACUGUAUUUUCUUUUAUAUCAAUAAAAUAGGCAGUGCCUUUUUUAUUUAAAAAGAAAAAAACAUAAUCCGAUCUGGAGAAGUCAUAUGCCCCCCAAGAACUUGCAACAAACCCCAACAAGAGAAUGUCUGUUGGACGAUUAUACAAAUUAGUUAAUUCCAGAAGCUGAUUAUACAAGCUGUUUAAUCUAUAUAUUUUAUAUAGACAAACUCCACUAAACUAAUUAUCUUGUACCUCCUUUCGCCACAUCAUCAUUCACCUUUCAUAACCGCGGCGACGUGUGGAGAAUCUUCCUAGUUUUAGAAUGCCUAUUACAUAUUAUACAAUGCAAGUGCUUCAUAUAUAUCGAGGUGGAACUAAUAAUACAUAAUGCGUGUGACGUUGCUCAUUCGAAAAAAAAACUGAAAGACGAAUGAUCAUGAAAACAAAAUUAAAUUAAGGGCUGUCAUCACCACAAAAUCAAAGGGCGUAGCACGCACGCACGCACGCACUAUAUUGGGUGACGCAUGUUACAUAUACAUACAUGAACCAAAAAAAAAACAUAGAGGAAAGAAAAAAAAAAACAAUUAGGCAAGCACAUUCCAGCAUAUAUACGUUUGCCGCGGCCGCGCGCGCACCCAUCAGGCCGGGUGCAGCACAUUAUUAUUCCAGAGAAUCAUAAUUUUGCCGGAUCGGAUUAUAUAUAUAGGUAGAUCACGCCAAGAACUCGAUCGCCAUAGAUGCAUGGAGAUCUCUGUCGGCGACGGCGACCCGUCGGUUAGUCGGAAGAGCUGCUGCUGGAGGGUGCGUCCGACGACGAUGACGACGACUCCGGGGACGAGGCGUCGGGGCUGGGAGCGGGCGCGUCGGAGGAGGACUCCAUGGACCUGCCCUCCACGAUGUCGGGGCGCGCCGCGUCGACGACCGUCGUGAGUGGCGCCACCGCGACGGCGGCCAGGAGGAGCACGACGAGGAACACGCAGGCGCGGGCCAUUGCUGCUGCCUUGGUGGCGGUGCGUCGGAGCGAGAGUGGCAGCUGUGUUUCUUGUUUGCUUGCUGUGUGUUGCG
rnacentral:lncRNA from 1 species